rnacentral:lncRNA from 1 species
UCAUAUAAAUACCUUGCCUAGCAACAGCUUGCUUCUUUUUCUGCUUGUUCGGAUCCAGAGAGGCAAUGUACUGAGGACAGUUCUUCUUCCAGUGCCCCCGCUUCUUGCAAAAGAAGCAUUCAGCUUGACUCUUAUCUGGCUUGAUCUUUCUGGUCUGGCUCUGCACUGAUGUCCCAGCCUGAACUUGCACCUUCUUCACUUUCUUCUUCUUAUUUUUUUUUCUUUCUCAAAAGGUCGAGAACCAGAAGACGAACCUCCCACUAAGUUCACUGACUCCUUGUAGAGUUGGUGAUCCUUCUCAAAGUUCUGAAGCAACCCCAGUAAUCCGUGGUAGUUUACUUCAGGCUUUGUCAUUCUAUAAUG